CUACGGGUCGCUCCAGUGAGGAAUAUCGCACAAUGGGGGGAACCCUGAUGCAGCAACGCCGCGUGGAGGAUGACGCAUUUCGGUGUGUAAACUCCUUUUAUAUGUCAAGAAAAUGACGGUAGCAUAUGAAUAAGCACCGGCUAACUCCGUGCCAGCAGCCGCGGUAAUACGGAGGGUGCAAGCGUUACUCGGAAUCACUGAGCGUAAAGGACGCGUAGGCGGGUUGGAAAGUCAGGUGUGAAAUCCUACAGCUUAACUGUAGAACUGCACCUGAAACUUCUAAUCUAGAGUAUGGGAGGGGGAGAUGGAAUUAGUGGUGUAGGGGUAAAAUCCGUAGAUAUCACUAGGAAUACCUAAAGCGAAGGCGAUCUCCUGGAACAUUACUGACGCUAAGGCGUGAAAGCGUGGGGAGCAAACAGGAUUAGAUACCCCAGUAGUC
rnacentral:rRNA from 1 species